CAGUAGCCGCGGUAAUACAGAGGGUGCGAGCGUUAAUCGGAUUUACUGGGCGUAAAGCGUGCGUAGGCGGCUUCUUAAGUCGGAUGUGAAAUCCCUGAGCUUAACUUAGGAAUUGCAUUCGAUACUGGGAAGCUAGAGUAUGGGAGAGGAUGGUAGAAUUCCAGGUGUAGCGGUGAAAUGCGUAGAGAUCUGGAGGAAUACCGAUGGCGAAGGCAGCCAUCUGGCCUAAUACUGACGCUGAGGUACGAAAGCAUGGGGAGCAAACAGGAUUAGAUACCCCAGUAGUCCCUGUCCUUAUACA
rnacentral:rRNA from 1 species